UCGAUUUGGAGUUUUGUUGCCCUGAGUGAUGGGCUCCGAAGCUAACGCGAUAAAUCGACCGCCUGGGGAGUACGGCCGCAAGGUUAAAACUCAAAUGAAUUGACGGGGGCCCGCACAAGCGGUGGAGCAUGUGGUUUAAUUCGAUGCAACGCGAAGAACCUUACCUGGUCUUGACAUCCACAGAAUCUUGCAGAGAUGCGAGAGUGCCUUCGGGAACUGUGAGACAGGUGCUGCAUGGCUGUCGUCAGCUCGUGUUGUGAAAUGUUGGGUUAAGUCCCGCAACGAGCGCAACCCUUAUCCUUUGUUGCCAUCGGUUAGGCCGGGAACUCAAAGGAGACUGCCGUUGAUAAAGCGGAGGAAGGUGGGGACGACGUCAAGUCAUCAUGGCCCUUACGACCAGGGCUACACACGUGCUACAAUGGCGUAUACAAAGGGAGGCGACCUCGCGAGAGCAAGCGGACCUCAUAAAGUACGUCUAAGUCCGGAUUGGAGUCUGCAACUCGACUCCAUGAAGUCGGAAUCGCUAGUAAUCGUGAAUCAGAAUGUCACGGUGAAUACGUUCCCGGGCCU
rnacentral:rRNA from 1 species